UUUUCAGUUGUGCGUGUGAGAGGUUACAUUUUCAGUUGUGCGUGUGAGAGGUUACAUUUUCAGUUGUGUGUGUGAGAGGUUACAUUUUCAGUUGUGCGUGUGAGAGGUUACAUUUUCAGUUGUGCGUGUGAGAGGUUACAUUUUCAGUUGUGCGUGUGAGAGGUUACAUUUUCAGUUGUGCGUGUGAGAGGUUACAUUUUCAGUUGUAUGUGUGAGAGGUUACAUUUUCAGUUGUAUGUGUGAGAGGUGUUCACUGUGGUAUAAGAGAGGUUCUCACUCAUGAGUAUGAGAGGUUUUCAGUUGUCAUUGUGUGAGGUUCCAUUUUCACUAGUGUACGUGAGGGGUGUUUAGUAGUGAAUGUGAGUGUAUUUCAGUAGUGUUUGUGAAAGGCAAAAGGUCUUCAAUGGUGUGUAUGAGAGGCAAGUUUGAA
ensembl:lncRNA